UACGUAUGGGGCUAGCGUUGUCCGGAUUUAUUGGGCGUAAAGAGCGUGUAGGCGGCCAUGUAGGUCCGGUGUGAAAACUCGAGGCUUAACCUCGAGAUGUCAUCGGAAACCAUUUGGCUAGAGUCCGGAAGAGGAGAGUGGAAUUCCUGGUGUAGCGGUGAAAUGCGCAGAUAUCAGGAAGAACACCAAUGGCGAAAGCAGCUCUCUGGGACGGUACUGACGCUGAGACGCGAAAGCGUGGGGAGCGAACAGG
rnacentral:rRNA from 1 species